UGCCUCAGUCUCCGCAGUAGCUGGAACUACAGGGAACAUGACAUCCUCUUCCCAGGGUACACCCACCUGCAGAGGGCCCAACCCCAUCACUGGAGCCACUGGAUUCUGAGCUGAGUUCCUGUUCUAGGCUUCAUUCUGCAUGACCCAUCUCAGCAGGAUGGCCAGGGACCUCAUCCUCUGUGGCACCAAGGAAUUCAGCUUCAUGUAGCUCUCAGAUGCCUACAGGAUCCAUGGAGCACGUAACACAUCCUGAUGCUGUUCUCAGCCUUCUAUGGCCUCUUGGUCACCGUUUCCUACCAUCUGAGCUGGCAGAGAAGUGACCCAUCUGUGUUC